UACAGAGGGUGCAAGCGUUAAUCGGAAUUACUGGGCGUAAAGCGUGCGUAGACGGUUAUGUAAGUUAGGUGUGAAAGCCCCGGGCUCAACCUGGGAAUUGCAUUUAGGACUGCAUAGCUAGGGUGCGGAAGAGGGAAGCGGAAUUUCCGGUGUAGCGGUGAAAUGCGUAGAUAUCGGAAGGAACAUCAGUGGCGAAAGCGGCUUCCUGGUCCAGCACCGACGUUCAGGCACGAAAGCGUGGGGAGCAAACAGG
rnacentral:rRNA from 1 species